rnacentral:lncRNA from 1 species
UUUGUUGAAUCUCAUAUUUUGAUGAUGAAACUACUUGAUAUAUAUUUAUGAUUUAAUCUGUGUUUUUAGUGACGUAGGAUGCUUCGAUCAGGAUGAGACAAUUAAAGCAGGAAAAUCAUGUUGUGCCGGAGGAACAUGUCAGAAGAUUGGAUGUCGGGCCGGUGGAUCGGUCGACGUAUCGACAGAAGGCUUCGGGCCGUGGACUCGGGCAUCGGGCCAAGAAGAGCGGGUAUUGUGCCAAGGAUAUCGGAGUUGCGGAGUCAACUGGCCGAUUGGGCAAUAGGCUGCAGGAGAGGACGAUGCGCCGAAGAAUC